rnacentral:rRNA from 1 species
CCCUUAGAUGUUCUGGGCCGCACGCGUGCUACACUGAUGCAUUCAACGAGUCUAAAACCUGGUCUGAUAGGGCUGGGUAAUCUUUUGAAAGUGCAUCGUGAUUGGGAUAGAUGAUUGCAAUUCUUCAUCUUCAACGAGGAAUGCCUAGUAAACGCAAGUCAUCAGCUUGCAUCGAUUACGUCCCUGCCCUUUGUACACACCGCCCGUCGCUCCUACCGAUUGAAUGAUCCGAUGAAUACCAUGGAUUGAGAGUACGAAUAGGUUCGCUUAUUUCUGCUGCUCGAGAAGUGGAGUAAAUCUUAUCAUUUAGAGGAAGGAGAAGUCGUAACA